rnacentral:rRNA from 1 species
UGCAAGUCGAACGGUAACAUUUCUAGCUUGCUAGAAGAUGACGAGUGGCGGACGGGUGAGUAAUGCUUGGGAACUUGCCUUUGCGAGGGGGAUAACAGUUGGAAACGACUGCUAAUACCGCAUAAUGUCUUCGGACCAAACGGGGCUUAGGCUCCGGCGCAAAGAGAGGCCCAAGUGAGAUUAGCUAGUUGGUAAGGUAACGGCUUACCAAGGCGACGAUCUCUAGCUGUUCUGAGAGGAAGAUCAGCCACACUGGGACUGAGACACGGCCCAGACUCCUACGGGAGGCAGCAGUGGGGAAUAUUGCACAAUGGGGGAAACCCUGAUGCAGCCAUGCCGCGUGUGUGAAGAAGGCCUUCGGGUUGUAAAGCACUUUCAGUUGUGAGGAAAAGUUAGUAGUUAAUACCUGCUAGCCGUGACGUUNACAACAGAAGAAGCACCGGCUAACUCCGUGCCAGCAGCCGCGGUAAUACGGAGGGUGCGAGCGUUAAUCGGAAUUACUGGGCGUAAAGCGCACGCAGGCGGUUUGUUAAGCUAGAUGUGAAAGCCCCGGGCUCAACCUGGGAUGGUCAUUUAGAACUGGCAGACU